rnacentral:lncRNA from 1 species
UACCUUUGCUCCUAUAUUGCUUGGUUUUCUCUAUUGCCAGCAAAGGGAAGGAACAUGACAGUCAUUCUUGUUACUUAAAAAUACUUUUCGUCUCAUGUAGUGAGGGUACAAACAAAUAAUAGUAAACUUGAAAACCACAUUACCUUCCCUUAGAAAUCAUUUUUAUGGGUUGCUGUGGCUUAGUAAAGGCAUGGUGCAGGCGUUUAAUCCUGGCACCCGAGAGGCUAAGACAGGCUGAUCUCUGAGUUCAAGGCCAUCCUGGUGUAUAUAGUGAGUUCAGGCAAGCCAGGGCUGUAUAGAGGGACUCAGGCUAAACCCCUUUACCUUCUACCCCACCCCCCAAAAGAAGACUGAUUAAUUGCAUAAGGGCUAGUCUUUAAUUUGUGGUAAACAAUUGUCUUUCAGCCACUACUAGUUUAUUAGUUAAUUUUAAUUUGUUUUAGGUGAGGGCUUGUUACCAUGCACUGACUGGUAAGUAUUUUAGAAGCCAAGUCUCAAUGUCUCAAUGGGAAUAAUUGAAAUGCUAGAUAAGCAGAGAGAUUUAACUGUCUUUGGAUUCUUUGUUUUUGUCUUUGUUUUUCCUUUUUGUUUUUGUUUUUUGUUUUUUUUUGUUUUUUUGUUUUUUUUGAGACAGGGUUUUUCUAUGUGUAGCCUGGGCUGUCCUGGAACUCCCACUAUAGACAAGGCUGGCCUUGAGCUCAGAGAUCUAACUGCCUCAGCCUCCCAAGUGCUGGGAUUCAAGGUGUGUGCCACCAUGCCCAACUGAGAUUUAACUGAGAAGCAAAGACUUUAUGAUCACAACAAAGUGCUUUAAGAAUACAAUCCAUGCUGACUUUAUUCAGUGCAUGGUGACAUUACCGACAAAGACUAUUGUGGUAGUUUAGCUUAAGCCAGGGACAUUCAUUCUGGAAAAAAAAAACAAAAAACAAUCUUUAGGCAGUGUUGGAAGCUUUUCAAAAAACCAGGCCUCAUGGUAGUGGCACAAACCUUUCAUUCCAUCACUAAGGAGGCAGAGGUAGCUGGAUUCUCUGUGAAUUUCAGGCCACCGUGGUCUUCAUAAUAAGUUCCAGGACAGCCAGGGAUACAUAGUGAAACCCUGUCUCAAAAAACCAAUUAAUCAACCAACUAGCCAACCCUUUUCAAAAAACCCUUCAGUAAAGUUUGUGUUCCUAGCACUCAGAAGGCUGAGGUAAGUGGAUCUUGAGUUGUAGACCAGCCUGUGCUACAUAGAGAAAUCCUAUCUCAAAAACAAAACUACC